rnacentral:rRNA from 1 species
UACGGGGGGAGCAAGCGUUGUUCGGAUUUACUGGGCGUAAAGGGCGCGUAGGCGGCCACCGCAAGUCGACUGUGAAAUCUCCGGGCUUAACCCGGAAAGGUCAGCCGAUACUGCGGGGCUAGAGUGCAGAAGGGGCAACUGGAAUUCUCGGUGUAGCGGUGAAAUGCGUAGAUAUCUGGAGGAAUACCGGUGGCGAAGGCGGCAUCCUGGACCGACAUUGACGCUGAUGAGCGAAAGCUAGGGGAGCAAACGGG